rnacentral:rRNA from 1 species
UACGAAGGGGGCUAGCGUUGUUCGGAUUUACUGGGCGUAAAGCGCACGUAGGCGGAUCGUUAAGUCGGGGGUGAAAUCCUGGAGCUCAACUCCAGAACUGCCUUCGAUACUGGCGAUCUUGAGUCCGGAAGAGGUGAGUGGAACUCCUAGUGUAGAGGUGGAAUUCGUAGAUAUUAGGAAGAACACCAGUGGCGAAGGCGGCUCACUGGACCGUUGUUGACGCUGAGGUGCGAAAGCGUGGGGAGCAAACAGG